CCUCAAAUCAGGUAGGACUACCCGCUGAACUUAAC
rnacentral:rRNA from 1 species